rnacentral:rRNA from 1 species
AGUGAACGCUGGCGGUAGGCCUAACACAUGCAAGUCGAACGGCAGCACAGUAAGAGCUUGCUCUUACGGGUGGCGAGUGGCGGACGGGUGAGGAAUACAUCGGAAUCUACUUUUUCGUGGGGGAUAACGUAGGGAAACUUACGCUAAUACCGCAUACGACCUACGGGUGAAAGCAGGGGAUCUUCUGACCUUGCGCGAUUGAAUGAGCCGAUGUCGGAUUAGCUAGUUGGCGGGGUAAAGGCCCACCAAGGCGACGAUCCGUAGCUGGUCUGAGAGGAUGAUCAGCCACACUGGAACUGAGACACGGUCCAGACUCCGACGGGAGGCAGCAGUGGGGAAUAUUGGACAAUGGGCGCAAGCCUGAUCCAGCCAUACCGCGUGGGUGAAGAAGGCCUUCGGGUUGUAAAGCCCUUUUGUUGGGAAAGAAAAGCAGCAGGUUAAUACCCCGCUGUUCUGACGGUACCCAAAGAAUAAGCACCGGCUAACUUCGUG